rnacentral:rRNA from 1 species
CCUACGGGAGGCAGCAGUGGGGAAUAUUGCGCAAUGGGCGAAAGCCUGACGCAGCGACGCCGCGUGAGGGAUGAAGGUCUUCGGAUCGUAAACCUCUGUCAGCAGGGAAGAACGGUCACUGUGCUAAUCAGCAGUGAAUUGACGGUACCUGCAAGGGAAGCACCGGCUAACUCCGUGCCAGCAGCCGCGGUAAUACGGAGGGUGCGAGCGUUAAUCGGAAUUACUGGGCGUAAAGCGCUCGUAGGCGGUAUGUCAAGUCAAGGGUGAAAUCCCCGCGCUCAACGUGGGAAUUACCUUUGAUACUGGCAAACUGGAGUGUGUGAGAGGAUAGUGGAAUUCCAGGUGUAGGAGUGAAAUGCGUAGAUAUCUGGAGGAACAUCAGUGGCGAAGGCGACUAUCUGGCACAUAACUGACGCUGAGGAGCGAAAGCGUGGGUAGCAAACAGGAUUAGAUACCCUAGUAGUC